rnacentral:tRNA from 1 species
GCGAGGGUGGCGGAACUGGUAGACGCGCUGGAUUUAGGAUCCAGUCCCUCACGGGGUAGGGGUUCGAGUCCCCUCCCUCGCAUCA